rnacentral:misc_RNA from 1 species
CCUUGGCGUCCCCCUUCACCACCACCGCCACUCUCCCGGCAACAUCGUUUCCUUCACGGGCGCUUCUGCCGUGCUACGCGUACUUCGCUUCAUGCUCCCUAAACUCCAUCGCAUCCCCUCUUUAUAUGUGCCCGUAAUCGGUUUCACCUUCCUGAGGACGGAGGGGGACGCACCCCUCUCAGUGCGUGGCAUCUCAGGGUCCAGUGCACACCCACUCUGUGCAUUUGUGUGGGGGAGGGGGCCGAGCCGCCCCUCUAUCCCCCGCCGAUGCUGCACCGCUUCUGGUGGCGAGAGGGUCAGGCGCCUACCUACGCAGCGGGGGGUCAGGGCAACGCAUGCCCCCACUGAUGCCGGCAGUGAGGCCGCGGAUGGCGUUGUGUGGGAGAGAUCUUCGACAGUGGACACGUUUGCGCCACCCAUGUGAUGGGCAGGGUGUCAGCGUGACGCCAGCGUACCUCAGCCGCCCCUCGCUGCCCACUGGUGGGGAGCCUGGGCCACCGGGAGGGGGAUGCACCAGGGGUGGCUACGGGCAUAAUAGAAGCGGCUGGGAGGCGGGUGAGUGAGCAGAGUUUGGGGUCAGAGGCCGUGCUAUCAGGUAACUGAGUCGGCGCACUGCUGUACCGCGUGUGUCUAUGGCUGCUUCGCACCAGACGAUGGGGGCCUGUGACAGGGCCGUGUGGAGUAGUGUAUGGCUGACGCGCUGCGACAGAGAACUGGGCACGGUGAACAAAGAAAUGGAAAGUUUGUCAGGUCUGUCUCUAUCAUUUUUGGUGCAGAGUCUGCGCCCCGCGUGCGCAUGCUCAGCGUUGCGCGUUCGCACAUAUCAGUCGGUGUUCGGUAGAUGCCUUGACCAGCUCGAGCUCUCCUCCUCUUCCCCUGUCUCCCUGCACAAGCACGCACGCACAUGUGUGUGCACGUGCGUGUGUGGGUGUGGGUGUGUGGAGGGGGGAUGUUAUAGGACCGUAUCGUAUCCCUCUCCGCCUUUUCGCCACCCCGUCUCACCCCGACUUUUUUCGCUUUUUGUUCUGCCGGCAACGCAAGUCGCCGGCGUCGUUGCCCAACGGCAGGAAAAGCCAGGCUCGUGGGCAUGGGGCGAGGGGCGAGGGGCGAGGGGCAGCGGAAGAGCAAGUGAAAGGGUAAUGGCGGAAAGACGCGGUGUCGGAGGAUGACGCCCCCUCGCGCUGGCUUUUUUCUCCUGCGCGCGCGCCUUUACUCUUCCUUUGGUUUCCGCAAGCUCCCUCAGUGCACAGCGCCAGCGCCGUCGCACAACAGAAAUGGAGCGGCGACCCACACACCACCCUACGGUGGCGCAAACGGUGGAAAGGCAGCUUUCGCGCUACUCGCCUGGAGAAUCGAUGGCGAUCUUGGUGCCGCUGCGCCACGUCGUACAGCCUUGGCUCGCUUGAAUUCUCUCAUGUGCCUACCAUGCACAGCUGCACGUCAGGCACGCUAGAGUUGCGGCUAGCGUGAAGCAUAGAGAGCAACUGCAUUACCACUGCGUUCACCUUACCCCCUCGCCGUGCGCGCCUCCUUUAUUCUCUCCCUAUCUAUGCCACUCCUCUCCUCUCUCUUCUCCUCCUUGCUCGCUCACACCCACUCCCAUCGGCCGCAACAG